rnacentral:rRNA from 1 species
GUGGGGAAUAUUGGACAAUGGGGGAAACCCUGAUCCAGCGACGCCGCGUGAGUGAAGAAGUAUUUCGGUAUGUAAAGCUCUAUCAGCAGGGAAGAAAAUGACGGUACCUGACUAAGAAGCCCCGGCUAACUACGUGCCAGCAGCCGCGGUAAUACGUAGGGGGCAAGCGUUAUCCGGAUUUACUGGGUGUAAAGGGAGCGUAGACGGCACUGCAAGUCUGGAGUGAAAGCCCGGGGCUCAACCCCGGGACUGCUUUGGAAACUGUGGUGCUGGAGUGCAGGAGAGGUAAGUGGAAUUCCUAGUGUAGCGGUGAAAUGCGUAGAUAUUAGGAGGAACACCAGUGGCGAAGGCGGCUUACUGGACUGUAACUGACGUUGAGGCUCGAAAGCGUGGGGAGCAAACAGGAUUAGAAACCCGUGUAGUCC